AGAUGAUGAUGAUGAUGAUGGUGAUAGUGAUGGUGAUGAUGUUGUGGUUGAAGAUGAUGAUGAUGAUGAUGAUGGUGAUCACCAUCGGCGUCAUUAUCAUCACCAUCACUAUCAUCAUCAUCAAGAAGA
rnacentral:pre_miRNA from 1 species